rnacentral:rRNA from 1 species
GACGAACCGUGCGAACGUUAUUCGGAAUCACUGGGCUUAAAGGGCGCGUAGGCGGGUCAUCAAGUCCGGGGUGAAAUCCCACGGCCCAACCGUGGAAGUGCCUUGGAUACUGAAGAUCUCGAGGGGGAUAGGGGCGUGCGGAACUCAGGGUGGAGCGGUGAAAUGCGUAGAUAUCCUGAGGAACACCGGUGGCGAAAGCGGCGCGCUGGAUCCCUUCUGACGCUGAGGCGCGAAAGCCAGGGGAGCAAACGGG